rnacentral:tRNA from 1 species
UCUAUUAUGACAGAAUAUAUGUAAUGGGCUUAAGAUCCAUUUAUAAAGAUUUUUUAUCUUUUAAUAGAA